rnacentral:rRNA from 1 species
UACCAGCACCCCGAGUGGUCGGGGCGAUUAUUGGGCCUAAAGCAUCCGUAGCCGGUUUUACAAGUCCUCCGUUAAAUCCAGCUGCUUAACAGAUGGGCUGCGGAGGAUACUAUAAGACUAGGAGGCAGGAGAGGCAAGCGGUACUCAGUGGGUAGGGGUAAAAUCCGUUGAUCCAUUGAAGACCACCAGUGGCGAAGGCGGCUUGCCAGAAUGCGCUCGACGGUGAGGGAUGAAAGCUGGGGGAGCAAACCGG